rnacentral:rRNA from 1 species
UGGCUCAGGACGAACGCUGGCGGCGUGCCUAACACAUGCAAGUCGAACGGAGCUGGCCCCGCAAGGGACUGGCUUAGUGGCGAACGGGUGAGUAACGCGUGAGGAACCUGCCUUUCAGUGGGGGACAACAGUUGGAAACGACUGCUAAUACCGCAUGACGCUUCUUGGGGGCAUCCCUGAGGAGUCAAAGCUUUAUGUGCUGAAAGAUGGCCCGCGGCGCAUUAGCUAGUUGGUGAGGUAACGGCUCACCAAGGCGACGAUGCGUAGCCGACCUGAGAGGGUGAUCGGCCACAUUGGGACUGAGACACGGCCCAAACUCCUACGGGAGGCAGCAGUGGGGGAUAUUGCACAAUGGAGGAAACUCUGAUGCAGCGACGCCGCGUGAGUGAAGAAGUGUUUCGGUAUGUAAAGCUCUAUCAGCAGGGAAGAUAAUGACAGUACCUGACCAAGAAGCCCCGGCUAACUACGUG